UACGUAGGGUCCGAGCGUUGUCCGGAAUUAUUGAGCGUAAAGGGCUCGUAGGCGGUUUGUCGCGUCGGGAGUGAAAACACGGGGCUUAACCCCGUGCCUGCUUCCGAUACGGGCAGACUAGAGGUAUGCAGGGGAGAACGGAAUUCCUGGUGUAGCGGUGAAAUGCGCAGAUAUCAGGAGGAACACCGGUGGCGAAGGCGGUUCUCUGGGCAUUACCUGACGCUGAGGAGCGAAAGUGUGGGGAGCGAACAGG
rnacentral:rRNA from 1 species